GGCAUCUUGGCGGAGUGGUUAACGCGAUGCCCUGCUAAGUACUUCUGGGUAUUUAACGGUGGGAGGCAUUUCCUUCGGGAGCGUAGGUUCGAAUCCUGCAGAUGUCG